CUAAGUCAGAAUCCGGGCUA
rnacentral:siRNA from 1 species